rnacentral:rRNA from 1 species
GUGGAUUAGAUACCCUAGUAGUCCACGCCCUAAACGAUGAUAACUCGAUGUUGGCGAUAUACAGUCAGCGUCCAAGCGAAAGCGUUAAGUUAUCCACCUGGGGAGUACGCCCGCAAGGGUGAAACUCAAAGGAAUUGUCGGGGGCCCGCACAAGCGGAGGAGCAUGUGGUUUAAUUCGAUGAUACGCGAGGAACCUUACCCGGGCUUGAAAGUUACUGAAGAAUCUAGAGAUAGAUUCGUCCUUCGGGACAGGAAACUAGGUGCUGCACGGCCGUCGUCAACU